CAUGCAAGUCGAGCGGUAACGCGGGAGCAAUCCUGGCGACGAGCGGCGGACGGGUGAGUAACGCUUGGGAAUCUGCCUGUUAGUGGGGGACAACCCGGGGAAACUCGGGCUAAUACCGCAUACGCACUACGGUGGAAAGCCGGGGACCGCAAGGCCUGGCGCUAACAGAUGAGCCCAAGUCGGAUUAGCUAGUUGGUAGGGUAACGGCCUACCAAGGCGACGAUCCGUAACUGGUCUGAGAGGACGACCAGUCACACCGGAACUGAGACACGGUCCGGACUCCUACGGGAGGCAGCAGUGGGGAAUAUUGGACAAUGGGCGAAACCCUGAUGCAGCGACGCCGCGUGAGCGAUGAAGCCCUUCGGGGUGUAAAGCUCUUUCGGCCGGAACGAUAAUGACGGUACCGGAAGAAGAAGCUGCGGCUAACUACGUGCCAGCAGCCGCGGUAAUACGUAGGCAGCGAGCGUUGUUCGGAGUUACUGGGCGUAAAGCGUGCGUAGGCGGUUUUGUAAGUUUGGUGUGAAAUCUCCCGGCUCAACUGGGAGGGUGCGCCGAAAACUGCAAGGCUGGAGUAUGGGAGAGGUANGCGGAAUUCCUGGUGUAGCGGUGAAAUGCGUAGAUAUCANGAGGAACACCAGCGGUGUAGACGGCUUACUGGACCAUGACUGACGCUGA
rnacentral:rRNA from 1 species